UACGAAGGGGGCUAGCGUUGUUCGGAAUUACUGGGCGUAGAGGGCGCGUAGGCGGUACUUCAAGUCAGGCGUGAAAGCCCCGGGCUCAACCUGGGAACCGCGCUUGAGACUGGAGAACUAGAGUUCGGGAGAGGAUGGUGGAAUUCCCAGUGUAGAGGUGAAAUUCGUAGAUAUUGGGAAGAACACCGAUGGCGAAGGCAGCCAUCUGGACCGACACUGACGCUGAGGCGCGAAAGCGUGGGGAGCAAACAGG
rnacentral:rRNA from 1 species